rnacentral:lncRNA from 1 species
GAAAAGACCCGGUGGAGUAAAGUACUCUUAUAACACAAGAAAUGAUUGAAGCAUGGCAGAAUCUAACUAUUGGUGUCCUGGUGGUAGUAAGAUAUUCACUAUGUACUAGCAAUGGUAUCAAGAUAUUCAGCAUAUAUCACCUUUGAAUAGCCUGGAGAAUGACACCAGCAUGGGUGUGAACAGCAAUUGCAGAACAUCCAUGAUGUAAAUGCAGUUUACUUCAUUUAGUUCAGGGCAAAUUCUGAUUUGUGUUUUCAGCUUCAAUGGCUGUUUAUCAGGGAAUAAGAGAACCCAGGCCUUUUAAACACCAUGGAAUCUCUCUGGGAGAUGAAGAUCUUACAAAUUCUCCAGACACGAAAAAAAUAAUCAUGGAACAUGAUGGACAUCAGGUGAUAAAAAUGAAAUACAGAGACUGAACUGAGUAAAUUAAAUAGAAGCUAAUGAAGAAAUGCCUGGAAAUAAAAGUCAGAGAGUCAAGCA